GACGAACGCUGGCGGCGUGCUUAACACAUGCAAGUCGAACGAUGACGCCCGAGCUUGCUCGGUCUGAUUAGUGGCGAACGGGUGAGUAACACGUGAGCAACCUGCCCUUCACUCUGGGAUAACCUCGGGAAAUCGGGGCUAAUACCGGAUAUGAGCUCCUGUCGCAUGGCGGGGGUUGGAAAGUUUUUCGGUGAGGGAUGGGCUCGCGGCCUAUCAGUUUGUUGGUGGGGUAGUGGCUCACCAAGGCGAUGACGGGUAGCCGGCCUGAGAGGGCGACCGGCCACACUGGGACUGAGACACGGCCCAGACUCCUACGGGAGGCAGCAGUGGGGAAUAUUGCACAAUGGGCGAAAGCCUGAUGCAGCGACGCCGCGUGAGGGAUGACGGCCUUCGGGUUGUAAACCUCUUUCAGCAGGGAAGAAGCGAGAGUGACGGUACUGGCAGAAGAAGCGCCGGCUAACUACGUG
rnacentral:rRNA from 1 species